CCUACGGGAGGCAGCAGUGGGGAAUAUUGGGCAAUGGGCGCAAGCCUGACCCAGCAACGCCGCGUGAAGGAAGAAGGCUUUCGGGUUGUAAACUUCUUUUCUGGGGGACGAACAAAUGACGGUACCCCGGGAAUAAGCCACGGCUAACUACGUGCCAGCAGCCGCGGCAAUACGUAGGUGGCAAGUGUUAUCCGGAUUUAUUGGGUUUAAAGGGCGUGUAGGCGGGAAGGCAAGUCAGAUGUGAAAACUCAGGGCUCAACCCUGGGCCUGCAUUUGAAACUGGGUUGCUUGAGAGCUGGUGAGGCAGGCGGAAUGCCGUGUGUAGCGGUGAAAUGCGGAGAGAUACGGAGGAACACCAGUGGCGAAGGCGGAUUGCUAGACAGUAACUGACGCUGAGGCGCGAAAGCGUGGGGAGCAAACAGGAUUAGAUACCCCAGUAGUC
rnacentral:rRNA from 1 species